rnacentral:rRNA from 1 species
AGAGUUUGAUCCUGGCUCAGGACGAACGCUGGCGGCGCGCCUAACACAUGCAAGUCGAGCGAGAACCGGAGCUUCGGCUCCGGGGAAAGCGGCGAACGGGUGAGUAACACGUGAGUAAUCUGCCCUCGGCACCGGGAUAGCCCGGGGAAACCCGGAUUAAUACCGGACGGCCCGCCGGCCCUUCGGGGCUGUCGGAAAAGGUAGCUUCGGCCUCCGGCCGAGGAGGAGCUCGCGGCCGAUUAGCUUGUUGGCGGGGUAAAGGCCCACCAAGGCGACGAUCGGUAGCUGGUCUGAGAGGACGAUCAGCCACACUGGGACUGAGACACGGCCCAGACUCCUACGGGAGGCAGCAGUGGGGAAUCUUGCGCAAUGGGCGAAAGCCUGACGCAGCGACGCCGCGUGCAGGAAGAAGGCCUUCGGGUUGUAAACCGCUUUCAGGAGGGACGAAGCCACUCGGGUUAAUAGCCUAGAGGGUGACGGUACCUCCAGAAGAAGCCCCGGCUAACUACGUGCCAGCAGCCGCGGUAAUACGUAGGGGGCAAGCGUUGUCCGGAUUUAUUGGGCGUAAAGAGCGUGUAGGCGGCCUGGCAAGUCCGCUGUGAAAACUCGAGGCUCAACCUCGAGAGGUCGGUGGAAACUGCCUCGCUAGAGUCCGGAAGAGGAGAGUGGAAUUCCUGGUGUAGCGGUGAAAUGCGCAGAUAUCAGGAAGAACACCCGUGGCUAAGGCGGCUCUCUAGUACGGUACUGACGCUGAGACGCGAAAGCGUGGGGAGCGAACAGGAUUAGAUACCCUGGUAGUCCACGCUGUAAACGAUGGGCACUAGGUGUGGGUGGUGUCGACUCCAUCCGUGCCGAAGCUAACGCAUUAAGUGCCCCGC